rnacentral:lncRNA from 1 species
CAUCCUUUAUAAGAUAAAGACAUGUUCAUUGUAACAUUGCCAAAAACAAAUAUAAUAUAGAAAAUAUCACUCAAGCUAUCAAACAAAAUCAUCAAAGAUCAAAUCAUCAUCAUCUCUCCCAGCAGUGGCAUCAUCACUCGAAACAGUAGUUACUCUUCGGCCAUAAUCAUCAUAAACAUCAUCAUCAUCAUCAUUAGGAAGGCCCUCCUCCUCUUCUCCAACAUCAGAAUCAGCUUCAUUCACAAUCACAUCUCUUGAAGUCGAAGCAUUACCACGGCGUGAGUAGAAUAGACCCGUCCUACGAGGAAGAUUGCGUCCCUCGACGGCAUCAGAUGCACCAACAGCUCUAUCAACAUCCUCCCACGUAAGAUCAUCUCCAUCAUGAACUAUAUCUUGUUCGGGCACUAUCCACUCAUUACCCCAAUCAAAGUCAUCUAGGACUAAUGGAUCGAAGUUUCUUCCAAGUUCGCGCCUCCUUUGGAACCUAUCAACAAUUCGGCGAUUGUAUUGGACAUGCACCAAAUCAUUUAACCGUUGAUGCUCCAACCUAUUUCUCUUCUUCGUAUGAAUCUGAAA